AGUGAACGCUGGCGGUAGGCCUAACACAUGCAAGUCGAACGGCAGCACAGUAAGAGCUUGCUCUUACGGGUGGCGAGUGGCGGACGGGUGAGGAAUACAUCGGAAUCUACUUUUUCGUGGGGGAUAACGUAGGGAAACUUACGCUAAUACCGCAUACGCCCUACGGGUGAAAGCAGGGGAUCUUCGGACCUUGCGCGAUUGAAUGAGCCGAUGUCGGAUUAGCUAGUUGGCGGGGUAAUGGCCCACCAAGGCGACGAUCCGUAGCUGGUCUGAGAGGAUGAUCAGCCACACUGGAACGGAGACACGGUCCAGACGCCUACGGGAGGCAGCAGUGGGGAAUAUUGGACAAUGGGCGCAAGCCUGAUCCAGCCAUACCGCGUGGGUGAAGAAGGCCUUCGGGUUGUAAAGCCCUUUUGUUGGGAAAGAAAAGCAGCAGGUUAAUACCCCGCUGUUCUGACGGUACCCAAAGAAUAAGCACCGGCUAACUUCGUG
rnacentral:rRNA from 1 species